rnacentral:rRNA from 1 species
GACGAAGGAUGCAAGCGUUAUCCGGAUUCAUUGGGUUUAAAGGGAGCGUAGGUGGCCUUAUAAGUCAGUGGUGAAAUCUCGAGGCUUAACCUCGAAAUUGCCAUUGAUACUGUAGGGCUUGAGUAUAGUUGCCGUCGGCGGAAUAUGACAUGUAGUGGUGAAAUACAUAGAGAUGUCAUAGAACACCGAUUGCGAAGGCAGCUGACGAAACUAUAACUGACACUGAGGCUCGAAAGUGCGGGGAUCAAACAGG